ensembl:lncRNA
GGACAGCGCAGCUCUGUGCCCUUCAGUGCAACCGGUGGCACUUUGUUUUUCACAGAUCCUUGGAGGUACUGCAAACCACACAGGUGUUACUCUGCUUUUUGUUUCUUUUGUUCUUCAAGCAGUAGGAAGGUCCUUCAAAGAGACUCAAUCUCCUUCAAUUAGAUUCAAGGCUAUUUUUUCAGUGAUUGUUAUACUCUCAAGAGAAAACUUCAAAAUGACUUCUACCUGGGCUUUAAGUACUGGCAAGGAUUGCAGAAAGAAUGGAGAAAGCUUUAUGAUGCUCAAGAAUUGCACCUAUGUUCAACAAAAACUCUUCAUGCAAUCCCAUCUGAAAUAUCUUCAUGGCCUGUAUCGUGUAUUUUGCACAACAAACAAACAACAUGCAGAAGCAAUUUCAAAUGUUAAUGUAAGACUUCAAUUGUUGGAGACAUUAGAUGUGAUUUUGGAUUCACUCUCAUUUAUUUUACGCAAAGUGUCACAUGGAGAAUUCUUGAAUUAGCUCAGUGCAUUUCAGUCCUAUCAGUUUGUUGUACUCUCCAAAGUUCAGUUAUGAUCUUCAGUAUCAGGGAGAAAUAUCAGUAAACAGAAGCAAGAGACUUUUUCCAUUAUUUUGGGACUGUGAAGAGAAAUGAAUGACAUAUUCAUCCAGGAUCUGUGUAGGAAGUGGAGGACAUCCUUGCCGCAUGCCAGCUCCUCUGUGCAAGAAAAGAGAAUUCCACAAGCAAAACUCAAAAAGUGUAGCUACACAAGGAAAAAUGAAGAAUCCAAGUAGCCAGAUGAAUGCAUGUGCAAUUUUUGAUGACCCUUCUCUCACCAUGGCGAUGAGGCCUGGAAAGCAAAAGGUGCGGAGGUCUUCCGACCAGUGGCGUACAAGUCUGCAGCUCCAGCAGCACCCUACUGCACAAGUUACAAGCUCAGUGUUAACAGGAUAAUACGCAGAGCAUCCAGUAUCCAGCAGGAGCACAGGUACAGAACUUGACCUGAAUGUUAGCAUAAUUACUUGAAACGCUCUUGUAGUUCAAGACCGUCCCCUUCAGACAUCAUGAGAAGCCCAACUGUUCUAAAGAGCCGUGAGGGCAACAUUAAUUGCCAUACAUUUAUUAAGCAAGCAGGAGCGUGUGCAGCCAAAAAGGUGUCAUGAACAGGACAUCAUGCUGCUCCCCAGUGAUUCAGCACAGAUCUGGAGGGUUGGCUAUUAUGAGGUGAAACACAGUUUAAAUCCUUUCC